UGGGGAAUAUUGGGCAAUGGAGGCAACUCUGACCCAGCAACGCCGCGUGAGUGAUGAAGGUCUUCGGAUUGUAAAACUCUUUAAGUGGGGACGAAGAAAGUGACUGUACCCACAGAAUAAGCCUCGGCUAACUACGUGCCAGCAGCCGCGGUAAUACGUAGGAGGCAAGCGUUAUCCGGAAUGACUGGGCGUAAAGGGUGCGUAGGUGGUCUGACAAGUUGGUAGCGUAAUCCCGGGGCUCAACUUCGGUGCUACUACCAAAACUGUUGGACUUGAGUGCAGGAGGGGCAUAUGGAAUUCCUAGUGUAGCGGUGGAAUGCGUAGAUAUUAGGAGGAACACCAGUGGCGAAGGCGAUAUGCUGGACUGUAACUGACACUGAGGCACGAAAGCGUGGGGAGCAAACA
rnacentral:rRNA from 1 species